AUUAAGCCAUGCAGGUCUAAGUAUAAGCCGAAAUAAAGUGAAACCGCGAAUGGCUCAUUACAUCAGUUAUGGUUCCUUAGAUCUUCGGUAUCCUACUUGGAUAACCCUGGAAAUUCUAGAGCUAAUACAUGCGUAUGUAGCCCUGACCUUCGGGAACGGGCGUUUUUGUUAGACCAAAACCAAUCAGGGAGCAAUCUCUGGCAAUUUGGUGAGUCUGAACAACCUUGAGCGGAUCGCACGGUCUUGUACUGGCGACAACUCUUUCAAAUGUCUGCCUUAUCAACUUGAUGGUAGGUUAUGUGCCUACCAUGGUGAUAACGGGUAACGGAGAAUCAGGGUUCGAUGCCGGAGAGGGAGCCUGAGAAACGGCUACCACAUCCAAGGAAGGCAGCAGGCACGCAAAUUACCCACUCCCGGCACGGGGAGGUAGUGACGAAAAAUAACAAUACGGGACUCAUCCGAGGCCCCGUAAUUGGAAUGAGUACACUUCAAAUCCUUUAACGAGGAUCCAUUGGAGGGCAAGUCUGGUGCCAGCAGCCGCGGUAAUUCCAGCUCCAAGUCUGGUGCCACCAGCCGCGGUAAUUCCAGCUCCAAUAGCGUAUAUUAAAGUUGCUGCGGUUAAAAAGCUCGUAGUUGGAUCUCAGUUACGGGCAGGUGGUUCACCUCACGGUGCUACUACCUGGUCCGGACCUAUUGCUGGUGCCCCCUAGGUGCCCUUCAUUGGGUGCCUGGGGAGACCAGAGCGUUUACUUUGAAAAAAUUGGAGUGCUCAAAGCAGGCGAAUGCCUGAACAGUCGUGCAUGGAAUAAUGGAAAAGGGCCUCGGUGCUAUUUUGUUGGUUCUCGGCACUCGAGGUAAUGGUUGAAGGGGACAGACGGGGGCAUUCGUAUUGCGACGUUAGAGGUGAAAUUCUUAGAUCGUCGCAAGACGGACUACUGCGAAAGCAUUUGCCAAGAAUGUUUUCAUUAAUCAAGAACGAAAGUCAGAGGUUCGAAGGCGAUCAGAUACCGCCCUAGUUCUGACCUUAAACGAUGCCAACUGGCGAUCCGUCGGGGGUAAUUCCAUGACCUGACGGGCAGCUUCCGGGAAACCAAAGUUUUUGGGUUCCGGGGGAAGUAUGGUUGCAAAGCUGGAACUUAAAGGAAUUGACGGAAGGGCACCACCAGGAGUGGAGCCUGUGGCUUAAUUUGACUCUUCACGGAAACCUCGCGGGGGAAGUAUGGUUGCAAAGCUGGAACUUAAAGGAAUUGACGGAAGGGCACCACCAGGAGUGAAGCCUGUGGCUUAAUUUGACUCAACACGGGAAACCUCACCAGGCCCAGACACUAGAAGGAUUGACAGAUUGAGAGCUCUUUCUUGAUUUGGUGGUUGGUGGUGCAUGGCCGUUCUUAGUUGGUGGAGUGAUUUGUCUGGUUAAUUCCGAUAACGAACGAGACUCUGGCCUACUAAAUAGAUGAUGGAUCUUUGAGUCCAUUAUGUCUUCUUAGAGGGACAAGGCAGCUCCAAGCUGCGUGAAAUGGGGCAAUAACAGGUCUGUGAUGCCCUUAGAUGUUCUGGGCCGCACACGCGCUACACUGAAGGAGACAACGUGUUUGUCUGGCUCGAAAGAGUCGGGUAACCCGUUUAAUCUCCUUCGUGCUGGGGAUUGAGGUUUGCAAUUGUCCCUCAUGAACGAGGAAUUCCCAGUAAGUGCAAGUCAUAAGCUUGCGCUGACUACGUCCCUGCCCUUUGUACACACCGCCCGUCGCUACUACCGAUUGAAUGAUUUAGUGAGGACUUCGGACUGAGACCGAUGCGGCUUUCGGGUUGCGUCGGUAUUUUGGAAAGAUGUCCAAACUGUAUCAUUUAGAGGAAGUAAAAGUCGUAGCAAGGUU
rnacentral:rRNA from 1 species